UGCGCAGGCGGGCUUGUAAGUCAGUGGUGAAAUUCUGCCGCUUAACGGUAGAACUGCCAUUGAUACUGCGAGUCUUGAAUAUGGUUGAGGUAGGCGGAAUGUGUUGUGUAGCGGUGAAAUGCAUAGAUAUGACACAGAACGCCGAUUGCGAAGGCAGCUUACUAAGCCAUUAUUGACGCUGAGGCACGAAAGCGUGGGGAGCGAACAGGAUUAGAUACCCUGGUAGUCC
rnacentral:rRNA from 1 species